rnacentral:lncRNA from 1 species
UAGGGUAAUCUAUGCCUUUUGAACCACUCUUUACAAAAUCUUCGUCCUGCCUUUGCUACUAACAACUUCACCAAACCACUGGAAGAGGAACUAUAUGAGUGAAAAAAUCACAUCAUUCUUCCUCAGCAUAGAAAUAUUGAAAUUGUUGGCAAAAUCUGUUGGAACAUAUUUCCUGGCAAAAGAGAAAGUAUGAACAUAAGAUGAAGUGAAUGUGAUCUUGGGGACAAAAAAGCAAGUUCAAUCUCCAACUCUAAGAAUUUAUUGAGUUAGCGGCAGCUACUUAUUGCGUUUUCUGUUUACUACUUUGCUUCUAAAUUUUACAUAUAUGUUUACGUCUGUAUUCAA